GACGAACGCUGGCGGUGUGCUUAACACAUGCAAGUCGUGCGACGAACCAGACUUCGGUCUGGGGCAAAGCGGCGAACGGGUGAGUAACACGUGGGUAAUCUGCCCCGAUGACUGGGACAACCCGAGGAAACUCGGGCUAAUACCGGAUGAUGUGCCUGGACAUAAGUCUGGUCACUAAAGGUAGCUUCGGCUUCCGCAUUGGGAGGGGCCCGCGGCCCAUUAGCUUGUUGGUGGGGUCAAGGCCUACCAAGGCAACGAUGGGUAGCUGGUCUGAGAGGACGAUCAGCCACACUGGGACUGAGACACGGCCCAGACUCCUACGGGAGGCAGCAGUGGGGAAUCUUGCGCAAUGCGCGAAAGCGUGACGCAGCAACACCGCGUGAGGGAAGACGGCCUUAGGGUUGUAAACCUCUUUCAGAUGGGACGAAGGUGAUGCGGUGAAUAGCCGAUGUCAUUGACGGUACCGUCAGAAGAAGCUCCGGCUAACUACGUGCCAGCCGCCGCCGUAAAA
rnacentral:rRNA from 1 species